CCCCUUGCGCAGCCCGGCGUUGACGCCUAUCUUUGUCCUUGUCGGGGGCAACCCCGACUAUGGGCAUAAACGCGCACGGAAUAAGCGGAUCGGACCCGGGGGCGGUACCCGGCGGCUCCACCAAAACUCCCUCGUUGGGGGCGAAUGGGGCCGAAACAGGAUCGACGAACGUCUAAAGGUGAUUGCUUUGUCCCGGUGAGCUACCACCGUUAUCGGUGCAAAUGUACAGUUGCCAACGACAACCGUGCUCCGAUGGCUCUGGCUGCGUAAGCAGUUCGAGGUAUCGAAACCUAAGUCCUUACGCUUAGCCGCUUAAGGCGGGGCUCGCAGGUGCCUGGCAACAGAAACCUGCACU
rnacentral:tmRNA from 1 species